GAUGAACGCUGGCGGCGUGCCUAAUACAUGCAAGUCGAGCGAACAGACGAGGAGCUUGCUCCUCUGACGUUAGCGGCGGACGGGUGAGUAACACGUGGAUAACCUACCUAUAAGACUGGGAUAACUUCGGGAAACCGGAGCUAAUACCGGAUAACAUGUUGAACCGCAUGGUUCAACAGUGAAAGACGGUCUUGCUGUCACUUAUAGAUGGAUCCGCGCCGCAUUAGCUAGUUGGUAUGGUAACGGCUUACCAAGGCAACGAUGCGUAGCCGACCUGAGAGGGUGAUCGGCCACACUGGAACUGAGACACGGUCCAGACUCCUACGGGAGGCAGCAGUAGGGAAUCUUCCGCAAUGGGCGAAAUCCUGACGGAGCAACGCCGCGUGAGUGAAGAAGGUCUUCGGAUCGUAAAACUCUGUUAUUAGGGAAGAACAAAUGUGUAAGUAACUAUGCACGUCUUGACGGUACCUAAUCAGAAAGCCACGGCUAACUACGU
rnacentral:rRNA from 1 species